AGCAAAAUGAUGAGGAUUUUUAUGUCUGAAUGUGAUGUGGAAUACUUGAUCCAUUAGCCUUCAAAGUUCUCUGAUUGCU